CCUACGGGAGGCAGCAGUGGGGAAUAUUGCACAAUGGGCGCAAGCCUGAUGCAGCCAUGCCGCGUGUAUGAAGAAGGCCUUCGGGCUGUAAAGUACUUUCAGCGGGGAGGAAGGCGAUAAGGUUAAUAACCUUGUUGAUUGACGUUACCCGCAGAAGAAGCACCGGCUAACUCCGUGCCAGCAGCCGCGGUAAUACGGAGGGUGCGAGCGUUAAUCGGAAUUACUGGGCGUAAAGGGCGCGUAGCGGUGGGUUACGUCUGCCGUGAAAUCCCGGGCUCAACCUGGGAAUGGCGGUGGAAACGGGCUGACUGGAAUAUUGGAAGGGUGAUGGAAUUCCAAGUGUAACGGUGAAAUGCGUUAAAAUUUGGAGGAACACCAGUGGCGAAAGCGGCACUGGGCCCAUAAUUGACCCUUAAGGGCAAAAACGUUGGGAACAAAAAGGAAUUAAUUACCUGGGUUAUUCACCCCCUAAACAAUGGAUUACUGAUUUUUUGGGGCCUUAAGUUGCCAAAUGUUCUUACUACCCCAUAAUUUUCCCCCCUUGGGAAUACCGGCCCCCAAGGGUUUAAAAUCCCAA
rnacentral:rRNA from 1 species